GUCGAGGGGCAGCAUGGUCUUAGCUUGCUAAGGCUGAUGGCGACCGGCGCACGGGUGAGUAACACGUAUCCAACCUGCCGUCUACUCUUGGCCAGCCUUCUGAAAGGAAGAUUAAUCCAGGAUGGCAUCAUGAGUUCACAUGUCCGCAUGAUUAAAGGUAUUUUCCGGUAGACGAUGGGGAUGCGUUCCAUUAGAUAGUAGGCGGGGUAACGGCCCACCUAGUCAACGAUGGAUAGGGGUUCUGAGAGGAAGGUCCCCCACAUUGGAACUGAGACACGGUCCAAACUCCUACGGGAGGCAGCAGUGAGGAAUAUUGGUCAAUGGGCGAUGGCCUGAACCAGCCAAGUAGCGUGAAGGAUGACUGCCCUAUGGGUUGUAAACUUCUUUUAUAAAGGAAUAAAGUCGGGUAUGCAUACCCGUUUGCAUGUACUUUAUGAAUAAGGAUCGGCUAACUCCGUGCCAGCAGCCGCGGUAAUACGGAGGAUCCGAGCGUUAUCCGGAUUUAUUGGGUUUAAAGGGAGCGUAGAUGGAUGUUUAAGUCAGUUGUGAAAGUUUGCGGCUCAACCGUAAAAUUGCAGUUGAUACUGGAUGUCUUGAGUGCAGUUGAGGCAGGCGGAAUUCGUGGUGUAGCGGUGAAAUGCUUAGAUAUCACGAAGAACUCCGAUUGCGAAGGCAGCCUGCUAAGCUGCAACUGACAUUGAGGCUCGAAAGUGUG
rnacentral:rRNA from 1 species